GCAAUGGCAAGUGAUCUAUAAAGGAUUUUAAAAAACCUGUACGUUUCUCCAUCAGCCUUUGACCUUUGAUUUGGGAAUGUUGUGUUGAAUCAAGAGAGAGGAAUUAACCAUAGUUCUAUUCUGCUAUUACGUUCAUUAAUCUGUCAUACUUCAUCGCACAUUGCACAGACCACCCUGCAGAUCCUGCUGCCGGCCCUGGCCCGCAUUCUAUGGGUGACGGGCUUUUAUGACAACGCUGACACACUCGAGGGGUGGAUCCUUCACUGCCUUUGAGCAGAAAAGACUGGAGCUCAUCCAGGAAGUUAAAUAUUUGGCGAAGUAACUGUGGCGGCAGGGUUCUCCGACCAAGGUCUAGCACACCCUCUUCCAAGAGGUACUGUAUGUUCCCCAUAAUGUGUGUGUGUGUGUGUGUGCAGUUAUUCCUAACCCUCAAACUGAUGAACAAUAAUUUCUCCAUUUCAAUAUUUUCCAGCUUUCUAACAGGUGUGUUUUGCAAUAUCUAAUGCACACAUAUAAAUUACAUUUAGAAUACUCAAUUAUAAUGCUUGUUAGAUUUGUUAGCACUAAGAUAUCGAUUUUCCAACUUCAGACAGCAAUUAACAUGCUUUGCUUGUUCAUUUUAAAGUUCCCAGACCUCACUGAAAGUCCACCUGGGAAUGCCAGAGGACAGUAUCAUCAGCAGUGUCCAGGAGCAACUGUCAAAAUCUGACCAAAUGGUGGCUGCAGGACAGCUUUCACAAAUAGAUAAAGUGGUUGGAACUAUGCUGGAGAACAUUGAGAAGAUAAGCAGCGAAUGUGGCGAGGAAUUGGUCUAUCAAGAGUCACUGCGGUCUUCCUCCUCGUUGUCAUUCUCAACUGCCAAAUCACAGAAGACAGAGUGGGAAUUUGCACUCCCAUUCCUUCUGAGUUACCCGAGAGUACUGCUCAGCCCAUUGUAAGAUGCUCAGUCAUUGACAUGAGCGAAUCUACUAAGCCAAAAACAAUGGUGUGUGAUGCCAGAACAAGCAUGUUUGCCAUAGCCGAUACCAUCAUGAAGACGGUAUAUCCAGAGGCAGAAGGGCAGGUUACAUCUCACCCUGAUCUAACAGAUCCAAUAGCUAGACUGGAGGAGCUCAUAUCUCAGGGUAGGAUUGGUGCUCUCUCCCGUGAUCUCAGUCACCAAGUCAACCGCAUAAUUUCCGAUAGCAACUUGACCCCUCUGGGACUGACAGUGGCGGCUGGAAAGAGUGCAUCUGAUACCAUCCUUUCGAAGCUGAAGAGGAAUGACAAGGUGGGGAAGCCCACAACUUACGAGCUGGUUCAGCUGUUUGUAGAGGAGUCUGUUAAGUGCCUCCUGCUUCCUAGUUUUGUGCCCUAUUCAACUUCAAUGAGUUUGGCUCAGGGGGCCAAGGUGUUGGCUAGAGUGUCUGAAGAUAGAAUUUCAUGCUCUUCUUCUUCAUCAGUAUUUAGUGACACAGUCAGUCUCUUUACCAAAGUUAUGGUAAGCCAGGUCAUGUACUCUGUGGAUUCUGAUGCAGAAAGUAGAGGAUCCUCUCCAACUGAAUCUCUCCAAACAUCUGAAACCACUAUAUCUGAUGUAGGCAAUCUAUUGAGUGGCAAGUCCUCCCCUCGGCUGUCUCCUUCUGGCUCCAUUAUGGCAACAAGCGAGACCUCCAAUGCAGCACAAAUCUUGAAGGCCAACAUUGAUGGAGAGGAAGUGGAUACCACCAGUCAUUCUGGUGUAGCUCAAAACAUUGUCAGGGACGAUAUGUCAACCAGCCCAGACAUGGUCAAAGAUGUCACACUUCCAACCCCAUCCUCUGAUAACUUGGGCGGUGAUGAUGACGUCACCGGCCUCAUCAGCAUGUUAGUAAUGAGAAUUCUAACAGAAAUCCAAACCCCAGCAGAAGAUUACCCAGUUGACGUCACACGCAAGUCACAAGACCUGAUCCCUAAAGUUAUGGAGGUCUUCUGUGCAUGGUCAGGCUGCUCUGAGACACAAGCCUAUCCAGAGAACUUGAGGAUUCAUAAAGUCUACAGAGUCGUCUAUAAAAAUCUGUUGGAGGAGUUUGGCUCGGAGAAAAUCCUCCAACAGGCCGUGUCGACUCAGGACUCUUCAUUUGAUAGGAUUCUUGUCAAGUCUUUGAGUGAAGCGCUUCUCCACAGAUGUAAUGAGGCAUUGAGGGCAGCCUCAAGAACAUCAGUCAAAACCACCGGGCCUAAGGCUUUUCCACUGGCUGAGGAUGUGAGGGCUAGCAGCGGGAAACUAUCUUUUCUACAAAGGCUGGUCAGGCUGACAAGCAACUUAAAGCUAUUCAAGAAGGGGAACAAGAAGGAUUCCCACCGCUCUGAAUCAGAACAAGUACAGACCACUGCUGAAGAUGGCAUGCUGCCCAGCAUAGUGCCACAUGCUGCCAUGUCUGCACUGCCAAAGGAUCUCCCCGCCAGCUCCCAACAGGAGACGCCUCAUAAACGUCCACUUCUCGUCAGGAUGUUUUCUGCCAUCUCCAAAGGCCUGUUCAAGCCCUUCAAACAGUCCUUAAAGACCAAGUAACUUCAGACAAUUUAUUAAACGUCAUUCAUUGCAUUAAAUUGGCCUUUGUCUUCUUAUGUGCUCCCGUUAACAGACCAGAUUACAAUACUGGUCUUUUAAAUGUUAGCAGUGAUAGCAACAUUAACUAUAGUGGUGUGUGUAUAGCCCUUCUACACAGUCUGACUCUUCUGACACUGUGUGACAUGCCCUCUGAUCCAGUGAUCUAGGAUCUUCUGAGUGGCUUUAGGCCUGAAUCUCUGCCCUCCUGCCCAAAUAAAUGUUUUCUCUUCUGAUAUAUCUGCCACUCUUCAGCAGCCAGCAGGGGAAAACAGACAGCGCUGUUGAGAGCUUUCUUUUCUCCCUCAUGACUAAAACACUGAGAAAGGCUUUUAUCUAUUGCAGCAUAUUCCCUCUUUUGAUUUAACCUAUUAUACGGUAGAAGUACCCAUUAUUUCCCAACGGUUAUAUCACAGGAAAUGUGUUAUAAAAAGUCAACUUACAGUGCAUCCGGAAAGUAUUCAGACCACUUGACUUUUUCCACAUUGUUACGUUACAGCCUUAUUCUAAAAAUGA
ensembl:lncRNA